rnacentral:lncRNA from 1 species
CUCAGGGCUGCCUUCCUUCUCUACCUCACUCCCCAUAGUGGACUUCCUGGGACCAUCAUCCAAAGUCUCUGCCCUGGCCUCCUUCCAGAGUUGCAGGGGCUGGAACUUGAAAGUUGGGUGGGCAUGCACAGGUAGCAAGAACUAAGCGGAGGGACAAGGAAGGUAUCGUCUAUUCAGUGCCAGACACUCUGCCAAGAGCUUCAUCCACCUGCUUUCAUGUGUUCUUCAAGGCAGCCUGAUGAGGUGGGUGCUGUGACAGAUGAGGAAACUGAGGCUCAGGAAGGCAAAACAGCU